AACACAUGCAAGUCGCAGGGUAACAUGAGGAAAGCUUGCUUCUUGAUGACGACUGGCGCACGGGUGAGUAACGCGUAUCCCACCUUUCCCAUAACUACGGGAUAACCCGUUGAAAGACGGCCUAAUACCGUAUGAUAUCGUUUGCUGACAUCAAAUAACGAUUAAAGGUUUAGCGGUUAUGGAUGGGGAUGCGUCUGAUUAGCUUGUGGGCGGGGUAACGGCCCACCAAGGCGACGAUCAGUAGGGGUUCUGAGAGGAAGGUCCCCCACAUUGGAACUGAGACACGGUCCAAACUCCUACGGGAGGCAGCAGUGAGGAAUAUUGGUCAAUGGGCGAGAGCCUGAACCAGCCAAGUAGCGUGCAGGAUGACGGCCCUAUGGGUUGUAAACUGCUUUUAUGUGGGGAUAAAGUGCGUGACGUGUCAUGCAUUGCAGGUACCACAUGAAUAAGGACCGGCUAAUUCCGUGCCAGCAGCCGCGGUAAUACGGAAGGUCCGGGCGUUAUCCGGAUUUAUUGGGUUUAAAGGGAGCGUAGGCUGUCUAUUAAGCGUGUUGUGAAAUUUACCGGCUCAACCGGUGGCUUGCAGCGCGAACUGGUCGACUUGAGUAUGCAGGAAGUAGGCGGAAUUCAUGGUGUAGCGGUGAAAUGCUUAGAUAUCAUGACGAACUCCGAUUGCGCAGGCAGCUUACUGUAGCAUAACUGACGCUGAUGCUCGAAAGUGCGGGUAUCAAACAGGAUUAGAUACCCUGGUAGUCCGCACGGUAAACGAUGGAUGCUCGCUAUUCGUCCCUUUUGGAUGAGUGGCCAAGUGAAAACAUUAAGCAUCCCACCUGGGGAGUACGCCGGC
rnacentral:rRNA from 1 species